rnacentral:lncRNA from 1 species
AGUACCUUCAAUGGACAGGAACUGGCAAAGAGUUUCAAAAUAGCCGAGUGCUCUCCCCACGCCCCCGGGGGUCCCGGGCGGUAGGUCCAGGGCUCCCCGAAGAGAGGGCAGACCCCAAUUCGGUCCUAAAAGGAAACUUUCCGGGCCGCGGCUGCACCUGACUUCUCACCGCCCCUCCACCCCACCCCACGCCCGCCAGGCCGCCCGCCCCGCCCCGGCCUGCCGCCCGGAGCGCGAAGGAGGGGGAUAAAUAAAUUCAACUGUUACCGGAAUCCGGGGGGCGUCUGUGAGACACCCAGGGGGAAGGGGGGCCGGCGCCCAUUCUCCACUCCUAGGCCUUGACGCCCCUGACGCCCCUGUCCCGUCAGUCCGGGCCUGCCGCCCCGCGGGAGAGCCUCGGGGCCGGCGCCGAAUUUCGCCCCGCAGCGCCGCCGUCCCGCCUGGAGGCCCCGAGGGACCCGAGGGGGCGCGUGCAGGCCCGGGGUGCGGGGGCAGGGCGCGGCCGCCGCGGGGCCCGCCGGCCCGGGGCCUAGCCGGCCCCCCCCCCCCCCCCCGCCGCACACCCCCACCCCGGCCCGCACAGGCCU